CAAGCAUAGUAAAUGCUCGCUUUUACAAAAAGAGGAAAGUCCGAGCUGCAAAAGACAAACAUUGUAUCUAACAGAUACCAGCAGUAAUGCUAGGGAAAGUGCAACAGAAAGCAAACUACCAUGAAUUUGGUAAAGGUGAAACGGUGGGGUAAGAGCCCACCAGCGAAUUUGGUGACAUUUUCGGCUUUGUAAACCCAAUGUGCAGCAAGAAGGGAUGGUUAGAGUCUUUGAGAAAACCCUUCGCUUGAUUUUGUUUGUGAAAACAAAACCAGAUAAAUGAGCAUUCACGACAGAACUCGGCUUAUCGCUAUGCUUUGAUU
rnacentral:RNase_P_RNA from 2 species